GCAAUGGGGGGAACCCUGACCGAGCAACGCCGCGUGAGUGAAGAAGGUUUUCGGAUCGUAAAGCUCUGUUGUUAAGGAAGAACGAGUGUGAGAAUGGAAAGUUCAUACUGUGACGGUACUUAACCAGAAAGGGACGGCUAACUACGUGCCAGCAGCCGCGGUAAUACGUAGGUCCCGAGCGUUGUCCGGAUUUAUUGGGCGUAAAGCGAGCGCAGGCGGUUAGAAAAGUCUGAAGUGAAAGGCAGUGGCUCAACCAUUGUAGGCUUUGGAAACUGUUUAACUUGAGUGCAGAAGGGGAGAGUGGAAUUCCAUGUGUAGCGGUGAAAUGCGUAGAUAUAUGGAGGAACACCGGUGGCGAAAGCGGCUCUCUGGUCUGUAACUGACGCUGAGGCUCGAAAGCGUGGGGAGCGAACAGGAUUAGAUACCCUGGUAGUCCACGCCGUAAACGAUGAGUGCUAGGUGUUAGGUCCUUUCCGGGACUUAGUGCCGCAGCUAACGCAUUAAGCACUCCGCCUGGGGAGUACGACCGCAAGGUUGAAACUCAAAGGAAUUGACGGGGGCCCGCACAAGCGGUGGAGCAUGUGGUUUAAUUCGAAGCAACGCGAAGAACCUUACCAGGUCUUGACAUCCCAGUGACCACCCUAGAGAUAGGGUUUCCCUUCGGGGCACUGGUGACAGGUGGUGCAUGGUUGUCGUCAGCUCGUGUCGUGAGAUGUUGGGUUAAGUCCCGCAACGAGCGCAACCCUUAUUGUUAGUUGCCAUCAUUGAGUUGGGCACUCUAGCGAGACUGCCGGUAAUAAACCGGAGGAAGGUGGGGAUGACGUCAAAUCAUCAUGCCCCUUAUGACCUGGGCUACACACGUGCUACAAUGGCUGGUACAACGAGUCGCAAGCCGGUGACGGCAAGCUAAUCUCUGAAAGCCAGUCUCAGUUCGGAUUGUAGGCUGCAACUCGCCUACAUGAAGUCGGAAUCGCUAGUAAUCGCGGAUCAGCACGCCGCGGUGAAUACGUUCCCGGGCCUUGUA
rnacentral:rRNA from 1 species